AGAUAAUAACUCUCCAUUCUUCUGGCUGUAAGGGGAGAAUUUCUCACAUGAGGAUCUUACAACCUGCUUCAGGCAUGCAGGUCACCCAGUGCAGGCCCUUCCUGCUGUCCUCCGCCUGUGAGCUCAGCUUGCUGGUAUCACCCCAACCUCCUGUGAAGUUCCUGCUUGCUGGCCCUGCUCCUGUCUGCCCUGCCUGCCCUCCAGAUGCUGCCUGCCAACUAGGACUUAGAGUAAUCAUGUACCGGAUAAAAGGAAACACCCAGAUCCUAGGGGGAUUACUACAUACUCACCCUGAAUUGUCUAAUUUGAAGAGACUCAAAAUGCCACUGUGACCCAUCAGUAAGAAUGGGAGCUUAGAGCUACAGAUAAUAGAUAGAAUUUCUACUAACAGUGGAGCAAACUGAUUGAAGGAUCCACCUUGGUUUGUUGCCCAGUUCUUGAGUGUAUAAUUAAAAUAUACAUGCUCAGCAACUAUCAUAACCCCCAUUUUGGAUCUCCAACCUUGCAAAAGUAUAUUAACAAACAU